GGGGGGGGGGGGGGACAGUGACAUGGACUCGUGACACGAGCAUCCUAGGUGCGUUUCCACCAAAGAGAGCACCAUCAUUUUGUGUACUCCAUGGUGGAAUCGCAUCCAGGAUGCCAUUGUUACGAUUAGCGAACGCUUAUCAGCCAUGGGCAUCAAUAGUGGUGGCGUGAAAUGAUUCAGGGAGCAGUUGGAAGUCUUCAAAUCCACGGGCAACAAUUCAAAAUCUAAAUGGAUUUCUGCGCGUGAAUUUGAAGUAUCUCACCCGUUCUCUGUGUGUCAAGACGACGUGUGGGAAGAACUCUUUCAAGUAUCAAGUCAGUUUCUGAAUGCACGAUGCUUGAAUUCAGCAACUGUGCGUUUCUGAGAUUUCCAACAUGGACAGCGUGUAAUCGAUGUCUUCAUCAAAGAGGAUCUGCGACCCAAAUCGCUGAAGGAGUUGGUGGAGUUCGGGAACCUUGAUAUUGAAGCAGAGUUCGACAGACCCUUUCGUGCUCGAGUUUUUCGGCAAAGGUAGAUUCCAUGCUGCUUGCGAGACAUUUGGUGGGCUGGAUGGGUGCUUCCCUCAGUCGUUGAACCAGAGAAGUUAAACACGACUUCCACUUCCGUCACAUUGAUGAUUUUUCGAUAGUAGCACAAUCGUAGUGCCGUUCCAUUGUUUUAUCGUUUAGUGGUGCAUGCAGUUAGCCUGAAUUGUCAGUUUGUUCAAUAGAAGGAAUCUUAGUAGAACUGGUAAUCACGCUUUCUUUCAGUCUACACAAAUUCUAUUUGUAGCAUAUUCCUACCUUCUCAACGUUAGUUUUCGCAAAGAUUUGCAUUUUGACUAUCA